AGUCUCAUAGUCUAUUUAGGAUAAUAAAUUGCAAAUUUAUUGGAGAGUUUUAUUCUGAGGCUU
rnacentral:tRNA from 1 species